GCUCUGGAGGCUGGAAGUCCAAACUCAAGUUUCCCAUGGAUUCAGUGUCUGGUCCGAGAAGAGACUGGCAUGCCACCCCACACAGGAGCCAUAUAGGAGGAGCACCUGGGGAGCAUUCUCAACGAAGCAGGAGAAGAGUGGGGCCCCUAGCUCCUCUCCAGGCCUCUGGGCCCCAGGCUCCCAGAAGGAACAGAGACCCUCUCCCGGCCUGCUACAGAACAAGAACUACGCUAC